GCACCUGAGCCAGGACUGGACACGUGGAUUCCUCAGGUCACAGCAAUUGAUCCAGAUUCCUUUUCUGUAAGGAUAGAGAAUAAACCUGAACUUCCAGCAUCUGUCUCUGGAUCAUGAGGCUGCCUGAUAAAAGAGCCUGCAUGAAGGAAAGCUGAAUGAAGAGGUGGAAAGAUUGAGGCAAAGUUCUGAUGACAUCAUCUGAGUGCCUGGAUCCAGCUGUGCCUGAAGGUAGGAUUUUCAGUUACAUAAGACAAUAUUUUCCAUUUUCUUGCUUAUGCCAGUUGGAAUGGGAAGAGUUCUAAUCCAACAAUGCACAGAGGAUAUAGCUUACAAACCAGCCCAUCUUGUUUUCCUUGUCCUCAAUGCAAGGCAACAAAAAGAUGUCAGUGCACGUGACACUGAUGAUUAAGUUAACAUUGCAUUAUCUCUGAUGGCAUUCUGAAUGGCACAGUACUACAGAAGAGGAACAUUUUACACAGCCACGCUCCUGACUAUUGUCCCAUUGGCAGAAGGACUCACCAAGCUGCCAGUUUGUCUGGUGUUAUAACUGUCAGACCGUUGGUACCACUGAGCUACUUUGUAAACCUUAAGAGCCACAGCGGAGAGGACUGUCUGCUUACCUGUCCCCAUAUGCACAGUGUCUUAAAGACAGCAACAGGGUCCUCACCAUUCUUUAUGCAUCACUGAUCUGCAGUUUUGGAAGGUGCCCAAAAGACUGUCUAGAGUGUCCCAGCCUUCUCCGACAGUGCCGGGAAACAAGAGGUGA